rnacentral:rRNA from 1 species
CAUCGGAAUUGUUCAUCAACGUAUUGAUGCCGCUACGAAACGCUGCGCGGUUAGCCAGCCCGGUUAAUGGGUCAUGUAGCGCGGUACGCAGAAGCUGCGCAUUUUUGGCCUGUAAACGAAGCUGCCACUCUUCCAUUUCAUCCAGCAGACUGUUGAAGUCGAGAGCGAAGCGGUGAAACUCAGCGAUACGUUCUUCCGAAACUCGUCGGGAAAAAUUGCGGUUGGAACGCACAUCAUGUACGACAUCGGUGAUAUUUUUCAGUGCUUCCACCAGGCCAUUGUGCAAAUGGCGGGUGAGGGUAAUUGCGAUGCCUGAUGCCAGCAGAAUACAACCGGUCAGUACGGCGAGCGAAAACCAGACAAAAUGGCUGAUUGAACUGUCGCGAGCGGUUAAGCGUACUUCGCCAAUGGUUUCACCA